rnacentral:rRNA from 1 species
GCGUGCCGGAUGAAGGCCCUAUGGGUUGUAAACGGCUUUUACUAGGGAAGAACGAGAGGGUUUCGAUCUUCUGUGACGGUACCUAGUGAAUAAGCACCGGCUAACUCCGUGCCAGCAGCCGCGGUAAUACGGAGGGGGCUAGCGUUGUUCGGAAUUACUGGGCGUAAAGCGCUCGUAGGCGGAUUGGUCAGUCAGAGGUGAAAGCCCAGGGCUCAACCUUGGAAUUGCCUUUGAUACUGCCAGUCUUGAGUUCGGGAGAGGUGAGCGGAAUUCCGAGUGUAGAGGUGAAAUUCGUAGAUAUUCGGAGGAACACCAGAGGCGAAGGCGGCUCACUGGACGAUUACUGACGCUCAGGCACGAAAGCAUGGGUAGCGAAAGGGAUUAGAUACCCCUGUAGUCCAUGCCGUAAACGUUGUACACUAGGUCUUGGAGGAUUCGACCCCUUCAGGGCCCAAGCUAACGCGAUAAGUGUACCGCCUGAGGACUACGGCCGCAAGGCUAAAACUCAAAGGAAUUGACGGGGGCCCGCACAAG